GUCGCGAUGCCAGAGUGGUUAAUGGGUAUGACUCGAAAUGCUUCCUUACCGAAGCAGAUAAGAUAUCAUAUGGUUUCGGCCGCGUAGGUUCAAAUCCUGCUCGCGACG
rfam:Glarea lozoyensis ATCC 20868 chromosome Tnknown GLAREA14, whole genome shotgun sequence.